rnacentral:rRNA from 1 species
UACGUAGGGUGCAAGCGUUGUCCGGAAUUACUGGGCGUAAAGAGUUCGUAGGCGGUUUGUCGCGUUGUUUGUGAAAACCAGCAGCUCAACUGCUGGCUUGCAGGCGAUACGGGCAGACUUGAGUACUGCAGGGGAGACUGGAAUUCCUGGUGUAGCGGUGAAAUGCGCAGAUAUCAGGAGGAACACCGGUGGCGAAGGCGGGUCUCUGGGCAGUAACUGACGCUGAGGAACGAAAGCGUGGGUAGCGAACAGG